rnacentral:rRNA from 1 species
GACGAACGCUGGCGGCGUGCCUAACACAUGCAAGUCGAACGGAAAGGCGAGGCGCUUGCGGGGCGGUCGUGUGGCGAACGGGUGAGUAUAACGUGUGUAUACUCUCCCUGUAAUAGUGAGAAAAUUUGGGAACUCGGGCGAAAACCGGAUAGGAGCUUCUGCUGCGUGGUGGGCGUUGGAGAGAGACGGCGGUUGGGGAUGGACUAGCGGCUUAUGCGCUUGAUAGUGGGGUAGUGGCUUACCAAGGCUUUGACGGGUAGCCGGCCUGAGAGGGUGACCGGCCACAAUGGGACUGAGAGACGGCCCAGACGCCUACGGGAGGCAGCAGUGGGGAAUAUUGCACAGUGGGCGGAAGCCUGAUGCAGCAACGCCGCGUGCGUGAUGACGGCCUUCGGGUUAUAAACAGAUUUCGACGUUGACGAAGAGUGCGUGACGGUAAUGGGUCAAGAAGCACCGGCUAACUACGUG